CAAGACGUCGUACGGUGUUGAGCUCCUAAAUCGAGUACGAAUGAGUGAAGAUAAUCAUAUUGUUCUUGUAAUAUGUUAUACUGAAGAUUUUACCGUGUUUGAUUGAUUGAUAAAGAUAGGGCUAAGCGAAGCGAGUGCGAAGCCGAGUUCCUUUCCUAUAUCGUAAUGUAAAAAAGUGUGCGAGCAACACAGAACGUCAGAAGACGCAUAUUAUGCAAGACGUCGUGCGCGAUGUAGAGCUCCUAAAUCGAGUAAGAAUAAGGGAAGCAAAAAUACAGCGAAGUGAAAGUAUAUAGUGAAGAAAAAAUAUACAA
rnacentral:lncRNA from 1 species